UAUAGCUCAGUGGUAGAGUGCUUGCCUAGCAUGUGCCAAGUCCUGGGUUUGAUUCCCAGUA
rnacentral:tRNA from 1 species